UAGGGAAUUUUGGACAAUGGGGGCAACCCUGAUCCAGCCAUCCCGCGUGUGCGAUGAAGGCCUUCGGGUUGUAAAGCACUUUUGGCAGGGAAGAAACAGCCUGGGCUAAUAUCCCGGGCGACUGACGGUACCUGCAGAAUAAGCACCGGCUAACUACGUGCCAGCAGCCGCGGUAAUACGUAGGGUGCAAGCGUUAAUCGGAAUUACUGGGCGUAAAGCGUGCGCAGGCGGUUCGGAAAGAAAGGUGUGAAAUCCCAGGGCUUAACCUUGGAACUGCACUUUUAACUACCGGGCUAGAGUACGUCAGAGGGGGGUAGAAUUCCACGUGUAGCAGUGAAAUGCGUAGAGAUGUGGAGGAAUACCGAUGGCGAAGGCAGCCCCCUGGGAUGAUACUGACGCUCAUGCACGAAAGCGUGGGGAGCAAACA
rnacentral:rRNA from 1 species